CCGUAGCUCAAUUGGAUAGAGCAUCGGUCUUCGGAACCGACGGUUAGGGGUUCGAAUCCCUUCGGG
rnacentral:tRNA from 1 species